UCCUGGCUCAGGACGAACGCUGGCGGCGUGCUUAACACAUGCAAGUCGAACGGUGACGACGGAGCUUGCUCUGUCUGAUCAGUGGCGAACGGGUGAGUAACACGUGAGUAACCUGCCCCCGACUCUGGAAUAACCGUGGGAAACGACGGCUAAUACCGGAUAUGAGACGCACGGGCAUCUGUGUGUCUGGAAAGAUUUAUCGGUCAGGGAUGGACUCGCGGCCUAUCAGCUUGUUGGUGGGGUAAUGGCCCACCAAGGCGACGACGGGUAGCCGGCCUGAGAGGGCGACCGGCCACACUGGGACUGAGAUACGGCCCAGACUCCUACGGGAGGCAGCAGUGGGGAAUAUUGCACAAUGGGCGCAAGCCUGAUGCAGCGACGCCGCGUGAGGGAUGAAGGCCUUCGGGUUGUAAACCUCUUUCAGCAGGGAAGAAGCGAAAGUGACGGUACCUGCAGAAGAAGCGCCGGCUAACUACGUGCCAGCAGCCGCGGUAAUACGUAGGGCGCAAGCGUUGUCCGGAAUUAUUGGGCGUAAAGAGCUCGUAGGCGGUUUGUCGCGUCUGCUGUGAAAACCUGAGGCUCAACCUCGGGCUUGCAGUGGGUACGGGCAGACUAGAGUGCGGUAGGGGUGACUGGAAUUCCUGGUGUAGCGGUGGAAUGCGCAGAUAUCAGGAGGAACACCGAUGGCGAAGGCAGGUCACUGGGCCGCAACUGACGCUGAGGAGCGAAAGCAUGGGGAGCGAACAGGAUUAGAUACCCUGGUAGUCCAUGCCGUAAACGUUGGGCACUAGGUGUGGGGCUCAUUCCACGAGUUCCGUGCCGCAGCAAACGCAUUAAGUGCCCCGCCUGGGGAGUACGGCCGCAAGGCUAAAACUCAAAGAAAUUGACGGGGGCCCGCACAAGCGGCGGAGCAUGCGGAUUAAUUCGAUGCAACGCGAAGAACCUUACCCAAGGCUUGACAUACACCGGAAAAGUGCAGAGAUGUGCUCCCCGCAAGGUCGGUGUACAGGUGGUGCAUGGUUGUCGUCAGCUCGUGUCGUGAGAUGUUGGGUUAAGUCCCGCAACGAGCGCAACCCUCGUCCUAUGUUGCCAGCGGGUUAUGCCGGGGACUCAUAGGAGACUGCCGGGGUCAACUCGGAGGAAGGUGGGGAUGACGUCAAAUCAUCAUGCCCCUUAUGUCUUGGGCUUCACGCAUGCUACAAUGGCCGGUACAAAGGGCUGCGAUACCGCGAGGUGGAGCGAAUCCCAAAAAGCCGGUCUCAGUUCGGAUUGGGGUCUGCAACUCGACCCCAUGAAGUCGGAGUCGCUAGUAAUCGCAGAUCAGCAACGCUGCGGUGAAUA
rnacentral:rRNA from 1 species